UUUGAUGGCGACCGGCGCACGGGUGAGUAACACGUAUCCAACCUGCCGAUGACUCGGGGAUAGCCUUUCGAAAGAAAGAUUAAUACCCGAUGGCAUAGUUCUUCCGCAUGGUAGAACUAUUAAAGGAUUUCGGUCAUCGAUGGGGAUGCGUUCCAUUAGGUUGUUGGCGGGGUAACGGCCCACCAAGCCUUCGAUGGAUAGGGGUUCUGAGAGGAAGGUCCCCCACAUUGGAACUGAGACACGGUCCAAACUCCUACGGGAGGCAGCAUG
rnacentral:rRNA from 1 species